rnacentral:tRNA from 1 species
CGGAAAUGUGCCUGAACAAAGGAUUACUUUGAUAGAGUAAAAAACAGGGGUUAACCCCCCUCAUUUCCUUCUAGAAAA